AUGGAAGGAUGGCAGCCGGUGCCGCCGUCAAUCCGGAACCAGAAGGGAACGCAAAUCCGUGUCGCUGGAGGCGGAGCCACCAUAACACCAUCGAACCGAAGCUGGAAGGGGCGCAGCUGCCAGUGCGCCGGGGCCAAAAACCGCGCCGGUAGAGAACGCAGGCAAACCAAGGACACUGGAGAACGCAGGUUCAUGAAGGCCGGGACCGGAGUGGUGUCUACAAAAUCCACCGCAAAGCUUCUAACAACCUGCCAGAGGAUCGCCGUCAUCACACACGCACAGGCCGUCACCGUAGCUCGGAGGAGACGCCGUUGGGGACGAAGGGUGGCCUGCACAACCGAGUCGCGGCCACCUCCCCCAAGGUUCACGCCCGCCCCAACGGACAACAGCAACAGAGGGGCUGCAGCACGGGAGGCAAGACGCGGACGGGGGAAGGAUCACCACGGAUGUGGCCGCGCCGCCGAGCAGGACCAACAGGAUGUGGUGCAGCAGUUGGACGAGGGGAGUGGCCGCGGCGCGCCAGAUCCGAUCUGGGACCGUGGGGAGAAGGGUCUCCAGCGCGAGCGUGCGCGGGUGGGGGGUAGAGGUCCGCUCCACCGCAGCGCGGCCGCACGGCCGAUGGUCCGAUAUUACUGUAGCAUCAAUGAAUCAGUACUGUUUGCGACCUGUAUAUGUUGGGAAGAAGAACUAUAUAUGUUCAGUAAUCUGCUUCUGCUGCAGGAUUGUGGUUCCAGUUUUUGUGCAGAUAGAUGCUUCUUAUGUCAUUUACAGAAGCCACUCUGUAAAAUAUAA
rnacentral:rRNA from 1 species